rnacentral:rRNA from 1 species
UGCGGAAGGAUCAUUACAAGUCGGCGAUCUCGCCGGAUCUCGGGGCAGCCCGCUGCACCCGGGACACCCACCCUUUGCGUACGAAUACCAACGUUUCCUCGGCGGGCUUGCCCGCCAACGGGGACCUUAACCAAACCUUUUGCAAUGAGAAGUCUACGUCUGAAAACAAACAAAUCGUUUACAACUUUCAACAAUGGAUCUCUUGGCUCUGGCAUCGAUGAAGAACGCAGCGAAAUGCGAUAAGUAGUGUGAAUUGCAGAAUUCAGUGAAUCAUCGAAUCUUUGAACGCACAUUGCGCCCUUUGGCAUUCCAUCGGGCAUGCCUGUUCGAGCGUCAUUUCAAACCUCAAGCAUCGCUUGGUGUUGGGCGCUUGUCCCGCCUCGCGCGUGGACUCGCCUGAAAAGCAUUGGCAGCCGGCACCUCGACAUCCCGCACGCAGCACAACGCGCGAUGGGAGGCGUGGAGCCUGGCGUCCAGCAAGCAACCCCCAAGUUUGACCUCGGAUCAGGUAGGGAUACCCGCUGAACUUAAGCAUA